GGUAUGUAAGUCGCAUAAGCCUAUGAUUCCCAGCGGCCCCGUGUCUUAACGUGUGCGGGGAUGUCUUGGCUAUAGGCCGUGGAGGCUGCUCCUAUCCUAAAGGAGUGCCCUGAGUAGUCGCUAGGGUUUAGUUCGAGCCCGGUGAAUGAGUAGGUGGACAUAGUGCAUGAACUUACCUGUGAUAAGGACAGUAUCAUACAGUGACAGUAAUGGUUCAGUGG